GACGAACGCUGGCGGCGUGCUUAACACAUGCAAGUCGAACGGAAAGGCCCUGCUUGCAGGGUACUCGAGUGGCGAACGGGUGAGUAACACGUGGGUGAUCUGCCCUGCACUUCGGGAUAAGCCUGGGAAACUGGGUCUAAUACCGGAUAGGAGCCAUUUUUAGUGUGAUGGUUGGAAAGUUUUUUCGGUGUAGGAUGAGCUCGCGGCCUAUCAGCUUGUUGGUGGGGUAAUGGCCUACCAAGGCGGCGACGGGUAGCCGGCCUGAGAGGGUGGACGGCCACAUUGGGGAUGGGGUACGGCCCCGACUCCUCCGGGAGGCAGGAGGGGGGAAUAUUGCACAAGGGGCGCAAGCCUGAUGCAGCGACGCCGGGUGGGGGAUGACGGCCUUCGGGUUGUAAACUCCUUUCCCCAGGGAAGAAGCUUUUUGGGACGGUACCUAGAUAAGAAGCACCGGCUAACUACGU
rnacentral:rRNA from 1 species